rnacentral:tRNA from 1 species
CCCAUAGCUCAGUUGGGAGAGCGUUCGGUUCGCAUCCGAGAGGUCGAGGGUUCGAAUCCCUUUGGGUCC